rfam:Picea glauca, whole genome shotgun sequence.
AUGUACAUUCCUAUAAUAUAGUGUUAAUGCACCAGAUGCCAUUAUAAAUCCACAGUUAAGCACGCUCAGGCUAGAGUAGUAUUGAGAUGGGUGACCCCCGGGGAAGUCCUAGUGUUUUACAUG